rnacentral:rRNA from 1 species
CCUACGGGUGGCAGCAGUGAGGAAUAUUGGUCAAUGGGCGCGAGCCUGAACCAGCCAAGUAGCGUGAAGGAUGACUGCCCUACGGGUUGUAAACUUCUUUUAUAAAGGAAUAAAGUGAGGCACGUGUGCCUUUUUGUAUGUAUUUUAUGAAUAAGGAUCGGCUAACUCCGUGCCAGCAGCCGCGGUAAUACGGAGGAUUCGAGCGUUAUUCGGAUUUUUUGGGUUUAAAGGGAGCGUAGGUGGGUUGUUAAGUCAGUUGUGAAAGUUUGCGGCUUAACCGUAAAAUUGCAAUUGAUACUGGCAGCCUUGAGUACGGGUGAGGUAGGCGGAAUUCGUGGUGUAGCGGUGAAAUGCUUAGAUAUCACGAAGAACUCCGAUUGCGAAGGCAGCCUACUAACCUGCCACUGACAUUGAUGCUCGAAAGUGUGGGUAUCAAACAGGAUUAGAUACCCGAGUAGUC